rnacentral:misc_RNA from 1 species
AUUAGUGGCCGAUGGCUACCCUGACCUCAAGACCUUUUUGGGGGUAAGCUGCCGCUGGUAGCCGCCGUCAGGCGUGAUCCAGUGGUCGGUAUCCUCCUCUUGCGGGGCCUAUGCUGCACCCGAGGACACAGUCUUUAUUUGAAGGACUUGAAAUCGGUGUGGGGCGGACCGUCCUGUGGGAAACUCAGUGGGGGCAAUUGGAUAGCGGGCGUAAGGACAGGAGGUUAGUAAAAGAGCCCCUCGUGGCACUUCUCUUGGCCGAGCAACCGUUGCUGUCAUACCGUUCUCGCGGUGUGACGCCGUCCAGUGUACAACUCGACUCCCGUUCGUGCGGGAGUGUCGAGGGAGCCCUUGGGUUCUCUCGCUACGAUAGAUACCUGGUUGAUUCUGCCAGUAGUCAUAGCCUUGUCUC